UACGGAGGGUGCAAACGUUGCUCGGAAUCAUUGGGCGUAAAGCGCACGUAGGCGGCCGAUUAAGUCUGUUGUGAAAGCCCCGGGCUCAACCUGGGAAUGGCAAUGGAUACUGGCGAGCUAGAGUGUGUCAGAGGAUGGUGGAAUUCCCGGUGUAGCGGUGAAAUGCGUAGAAAUCAGGCGGAACACCCGUGGCGAAGGCGGCCAGCUGGGCCGACCCUGACGCUGAGGCGCGAAGGCGUGGGGAGCGAACGGGG
rnacentral:rRNA from 1 species